rnacentral:rRNA from 1 species
UACGUAGGGUCCAAGCGUUGUCCGGAUUUAUUGGGCGUAAAGAGCUCGUAGGCGGUUUCGUAAGUCGGUUGUGAAAACUCAGGGCUCAACCCGGAGACGCCAUCUGAUACUGCGAUGACUUGAGUCUGGUAGGGGAUCACGGAAUUCCUGGUGUAGCGGUGAAAUGCGCAGAUAUCAGGAGGAACACCGAUGGCGAAGGCAGUGAUCUGGGCCAGUACUGACGCUGAGGAGCGAAAGCGUGGGGAGCAAACAGG